rnacentral:miRNA from 1 species
AACAAAUAUUUCUUAACAAUAAGUAUGUCUCAUGUGAUAUUUGAGAAAUAUUUGGGACAUACUUAUACGAAACAAGUAUUUG